AUUGAACGCUGGCGGCAUGCUUUACACAUGCAAGUCGAACGGCAGCACGGGUGCUUGCACCUGGUGGCGAGUGGCGAACGGGUGAGUAAUGCAUCGGAACGUGCCCAUGAGUGGGGGAUAGCCCGGCGAAAGCCGGAUUAAUACCGCAUACGCCCUUAGGGGGAAAGCGGGGGAUCUUCGGACCUCGCGCUAUUGGAGCGGCCGAUGUCGGAUUAGCUAGUAGGUGAGGUAAAGGCUCACCUAGGCGACGAUCCGUAGCUGGUCUGAGAGGAUGAUCAGCCACACUGGGACUGAGACACGGCCCAGACUCCUACGGGAGGCAGCAGUGGGGAAUUUUGGACAAUGGGCGCAAGCCUGAUCCAGCCAUGCCGCGUGAGUGAAGAAGGCCU
rnacentral:rRNA from 1 species